UACAGAGGGGGCGAGCGUUAUUCGGAUUUACUGGGCGUAAAGAGCGCGCAGGCGGUCGUGCAAGUCGCGUGUGAAAGCCCCCGGCUCAACUGGGGAGGGUCACGCGAUACUGCUCGACUCGAAGGCAGGAGAGGGAAGUGGAAUUCCUGGUGUAGCGGUGAAAUGCGCAGAUAUCAGGAAGAACACCGAUGGCGAAAGCAGCUCUCUGGGACGGUACUGACGCUCAUGCACGAAAGCGUGGGGAGCAAACAGG
rnacentral:rRNA from 1 species